rnacentral:pre_miRNA from 1 species
GUCAUACUCUCUCGAUCCGUUCAACAAAAGAUGUCUCGAGUUUAUCAAAAUUUGGAUAUAUCUAGACAUAACUUAAUGUAUAGAUACAUUUAAAGUUAGUUAAAGUUGAGACAUCAUUUGUUGAACGGAGGAAUACAUG